rnacentral:rRNA from 1 species
GGACUACUGGGGUAUCUAAUCCUGUUUGCUCCCCACGCUUUCGCGCCUCAGCGUCAGUUACAGCCCAGAGAGUCGCCUUCGCCACUGGUGUUCCUCCACAUAUCUACGCAUUUCACCGCUACACGUGGAAUUCCACUCUCCUCUUCUGCACUCAAGCUCCCCAGUUUCCAGUGCGACCCGAAGUUGAGCCUCGGGAUUAAACACCAGACUUAAAGAGCCGCCUGCGCGCGCUUUACGCCCAAUAAUUCCGGACAACGCUUGCCCCCUACGUAUUACCGCGGCUGCUGGCAC